GGCGGUUGACUUUUUUUUUUUUUUUUUUUGCUAAUUACUGCGUUUUGACUAAUUACUCUUAUCAACCUUAUUGUCACAUCGUUGAAGUUGAUUUUAUUGUUGUUUUGAAUUGACGAAGAACAAGCAACAACUACACAGGAAAUCUGUCAUGCUGAUGGGACAAGAGAAAGACCCCCCAACCCCCCUGUGCUAAAUGUCCCUGUGCCCACAACAGACCAACAGACAGACAGGUACUUCUGACUGUCUGUCCGGAGAGGCAUAAUCUGACUGUGAGCCUUACAACUGUUUUUCUUCUACCUUGUGUGAAUUUGGCUAGCUGUUCACUGUAAUGACUUUUCCCAUUUCCCGUUUCCGUUUUCUUGUUUUUCAAACUUUAAAGGUGGUAAUAUGUGCCUUUACCCACUGAGUCAUUAUAUCCCUGUUACUGAUGAUUAUCAUAAAUCUAAGUCAUCGCGACAAUAUUGUUGCAUUAUAGAUAUCUAGGUAUUUGGUAGAAAAUAUAGAGAUAUUUAAUCUUUUCACUCAAUCCUAUCAUUUCUAAAGUGCUUUUGAGGACAUUUAAAAAAUAUUGAAACAUAUCUUGUAUCUGGAUACAGCCUAAAAAACCCCACACAACCCAUGUUACUACAGGAGUUGGUCUUCAUUCAAGCAAUCUGUGAUGUUGCACUGCCGUUUUCCACAAUAUCCCUGAAUAGACAAACCAAACAAGACAUUUUUAUUUGACCUUGUAAUUUUUUUUUAUAUCAGUCACUGUAGCAUUGAAACUGCUAUAAUAUAAUAGUUUACUAUUUAUCAGUGUCAUGUAAAUCAAAAUAAUGUCUUGUUCAGCUGAUGCAUCUUGUACCAUCAGUAAUAUAAGAAUGUGUUUUUUUCAAACUGAUUCUUCAAAAUUUGCAAGAAACAACCCUGACUGAAAAGACAUAGUAAAUACAUUUAGUUUUUAUCAAGUACAUGCAUGCACACACACACACACACGUACACAACACAAGCAUCUCGCAUCCAUUUUUUUCCCACUAAUGAAGAUGAAGUAAGAUAUGAGUGUUUUCUCACCAAGCUCGAUGCCCCAUUUAAUGCCAAUUAGCCAUUGAAUAUCUAUUUGUCUAAUGUUAUUUAUGCUUUUGAAUUUUUCUUUCUUCGGGUAACAUCAGUCGACACAGGAGAAGAACUGUCUUUCCUUCAAUUGACACUAACUAUAUAAAUAUGCUUCAGGGACAAACAAACUUUUUUCUGAUCUUCAUUCUCAAAUCAGGGUGAAAAGUUUACAUUAUGGACAUGUUCAUCUUAAGUGUUUUGA